AGGCUGCUGCUUUAUACACUUGUAGUAACCCAGCUCUGGUGCAGCUCGGCAUCAUCUCUCCUGAAGCAAUUUAACUUCAGGGACCAUGCCGAGGGAGGCGGAGCCUGCGUUGCCAGCUCAUCAGUGAAUCAGCAUGUAAGCAGGCUCAGAUAUCUGGGAAUCGGAAGAAAUCAUUAUCCACGUUCAAACCCAAUAAUGCCGAAGUCACAGUUGGCUGAAAACACCAUGCUAAGCAAACCUCGGAAAAUCCAUCCAUGAAACAGUGCCCUUUUCUUUGGUGAUCUUAUACUCUAAGAGAAAAGAA